GCGUUAUCCGGAUUAUUGGGUUUAAGGGAGCGUAGAUGGAUGUUUAAGUCAGUUGUGAAAGUUUGCGGCUCAACCGUAAAAUUGCAGUUGAUACUGGAUGUCUUGAGUGCAGUUGAGGCAGGCGGAAUUCGUGGUGUAGCGGUGAAAAUGCUUAGAUAUCACGAAGAACUCCGAUUGCGAAGGCAGCCUGCUAAGCUGCAACUGACAUGAGGCUCGAAAGUGUGGGUAUCAAACAGGAUUAGAUACCCUGGUAGUCCACACGGUAAACGAUGAAUACUCGCUGUUUGCGAUAUACGGCAAGCGGCCAAGCGAAAGCGUUAAGUAUUCCACCUGGGGAGUACGCCGGCAACGGUGAAACUCAAAGGAAUUGACGGGGGCCCGCACAAGCGGAGGAACAUGUGGUUUAAUUCGAUGAUACGCGAGGAACCUUACCCGGGCUUAAAUUGCACUCGAAUGAUCCGGAAACGGUUCAGCUAGCAAUAGCGAGUGUGAAGGUGCUGCAUGGUUGUCGUCAGCUCGUGCCGUGAGGUGUCGGCUUAAGUGCCAUAACGAGCGCAACCCUUGUUGUCAGUUACUAACAGGUGAUGCUGAGGACUCUGACAAGACUGCCAUCGUAAGAUGUGAGGAAGGUGGGGAUGACGUCAAAUCAGCACGGCCCUUACGUCCGGGGCUACACACGUGUUACAAUGGGGGGUACAGAGGGCCGCUACCACGCGAGUGGAUGCCAAUCCCUAAAACCCCUCUCAGUUCGGACUGGAGUCUGCAACCCGACUCCACGAAGCUGGAUUCGCUAGUAAUCGCGCAUCAGCCACGGCGCGGUGAAUACGUUCCCGGGCCUUGUACACACCGCCCGUCAAGCCAUGGGAGCCGGGGGUACCUGAAGUGCGUAACCGCGAGGAUCGCCCUAGGGUAAAACUGGUGACUGGGGCUAAGUCGUAACAAGGUAGCCG
rnacentral:rRNA from 1 species